rnacentral:rRNA from 1 species
GAAGGUAGCAUAAUUAAUUGCCUUUUAAUUGGGGGCUUGUUUGAAUGGUUUGACGUGAUAAGUUGUAAUAUUUUAUAUAUUUGUGAAAUUAGUUUUGAGGGUUCAGAAACCUCAUAUAUUAAUUAGACGGAAAGACCCUGGGAUCUUUAUAUUUUGCUUGGGGCAAGUUUUAUUGUUUUAAUAUAAUUUAGACCCUAUAAAAUUAGUUUAGUGGGUUAAGUUACCCCAGGGAUAACAGUGUAAUAAUUAAUUAGAGAUCAUAUCGAAUUAAUUGUUUGCCACCUCGAUGUUGACUUAGAUUUUACCUAGGUGUAGUAGUUUAGGUUUUUGGUCUGUUCGACCUUAGAAAUCUCCAUGAGUUGAGUUAAGACCGGCGUGAGC